rnacentral:rRNA from 1 species
AGUGAACGCUGGCGGUAGGCCUAACACAUGCAAGUCGAACGGCAGCACAGUAAGAGCUUGCUCUUACGGGUGGCGAGUGGCGGACGGGUGAGGAAUACAUCGGAAUCUACUUUUUCGUGGGGGAUAACGUAGGGAAACUUACGCUAAUACCGCAUACGACCUACGGGUGAAAGCAGGGGAUCUUCGGACCUUGCGCGAUUGAAUGAGCCGAUGUCGGAUUAGCUAGUUGGCGGGGUAAAGGCCCACCAAGGCGACGAUCCGUAGCUGGUCUGAGCGGAUGGUAGGCCAGACUGGAACAGAGACAAGGUCCAGACCCCGAAGGGAGGCAGCAGUGGGGAAUAUUGCGCAAUGGGAGAAAGUCUGAAGGAGCAACGACGCGUGAGUGAUGAAGGUCUUCGGAUAGUAAAACUCUGUUAUUAGGGAAGAAGAAAAGUGUAAGUAAAUAUGCACGUCAUGACGGUACCUAAUCAGAAAGCCACGGCUAACUACGUG